UCCGUUGUGGUAGUGGUUAGGAUUCCUGACUCUCAGACGCCACUACGUAGUAUUGGCCAUGGUCUCGGAAGGCCGGGGUUCGAUCCCCUGCAACGGAA